GAUGAAGAACGUAGCGAAAUGCGAUACUUGGUGUGAAUUGCAGAAUCCCGUGAACCAUCGAGUCUUUGAACGCAAGUUGCGCCCGAAGCCAUUAGGCCGAGGGCACGCCUGCCUGGGCGUCACACGUCGUUGCCCCCCCAUCUACUCCUUCGGGAUUGCGGGGGGCGGAUGAUGGCCUCCCGUGCGCCUUGCCGCGCGGUUGGCAUAAAUGCCAAGUCCUCGGCGACGCACGCCACGACAAUCGGUGGUUGCGAAACCUCGGUUGCCCGUCGUGUGCGGUCGUCGCGCAUCGAGGGCUCGAAAAAAUUGCCGGGUUCCGGCUCGGCUUUCAACGCGACCCCAGGUCAGGCGGGGUUACCCGCUGAAUUUAAGCAUAUCAAUAAGCGGAGGA
rnacentral:misc_RNA from 1 species